UACGAAGGGGGCUAGCGUUGCUCGGAUUGACUGGGCGUAAAGGGCGCGUAGGCGGAUAGUACAGUCAGGCGUGAAAUUCCUGGGCUCAACCUGGGGGGCUGCGUUUGAUACGUAUUGUCUGGAGUUCGGAAGAGGGUCGUGGAAUUCCCCAGUGUAGAGGUGAAAAUUCGUAGAUAUUGGGAAGAACACCGGUGGCGAAGGCGGCGACCUGGUCCGAUACUGACGCUGAGGCGCGAAAGCGUGGGGAGCAAACAGG
rnacentral:rRNA from 1 species